GACGAAUCGUGCGAACGUUGUUCGGAAUCACUGGGCUUAAAGGGCGCGUAGGCGGGCGAGCGAGUCCGGGGUGAAAUCUUUCGGCUUAACCGGAAAAGGGCCUCGGAUACCGGUCGUCUGGAGGGAGGUAGGGGCAGUUGGAACUUCCGGUGGAGCGGUGAAAUGCGUUGAUAUCGGAAGGAACGCCGGUGGCGAAAGCGAGCUGCUGGACCUCAUCUGACGCUGAGGCGCGAAAGCCAGGGGAGCGAACGGG
rnacentral:rRNA from 1 species